AGGGUUGUAAGUUAGUGGUAGAACAUCUGCUUUGAAAGAAGAAGGUCCUAGGUUCAAACCCUGACAUCUCCA